UUCAGUCGCCCUUUGGGGCGUUUCCUCCCUGACUUGGCCGUGCUGAAUGUCCGCGCGGCCAUUCUCGAAUCGAA
rnacentral:sRNA from 1 species